rnacentral:rRNA from 1 species
CAGUAGCCGCGGUAAUACGUAGGUGGCAAGCGUUGUCCGGAAUUAUUGGGCGUGAAGGGCUCGCAGGCGGUUUCUUAAGUCUGAUGUGAAAGCCCCCGGCUCAACCGGGGAGGGUCAUUGGAAACUGGGAAACUUGAGUGCAGAAGAGGAGAGUGGAAUUCCACGUGUAGCGGUGAAAUGCGUAGAGAUGUGGAGGAACACCAGUGGCGAAGGCGACUCUCUGGUCUGUAACUGACGCUGAGGAGCGAAAGCGUGGGGAGCAAACAGGAUUAGAUACCCCUGUAGUCCCUGUCUCUUAUAC